ACAUGGUUACUCCGCAAGGGGGUUCAGUCGAGGUGCUGCAUGGCUGUCGUCAGCUCGUGUCGUGAGAUGUUGGGUUAAGUCCCGCAACGAGCGCAACCCUUGCCCUGUUUUGCCAUCAUUCAGUUGGGAACUAUCAGGGGACCGCCAGCGAUAAGUUGGAGGAAGGUGGGGAUGACGUCAAGUCAGCAUGGCCUUUAUGUCCAGGGCUACACACGUGCUACAAUGGCCGGUACAAUACGACGCUNACCCGCGAGGGGGAGCAAAUCGGAAAAAACCGGUCUCAGUUCGGAUCGCAGGCUGCAACUCGCCUGCGUGAAGCUGGAAUCGCUAGUAAUGCCGGAUCAGCAUGCCGGCGUGAAUACGUUCCCGGGCCUUGUACACACCGCCCGUCACAUCACGAAAGUGGGUUGUACUAGAAGUCCGCAUGCUAACCCGCAAGGGAGGCAGCGGCCCAAGGUGUGACUCAUGAUUGGGGUGAAGUCGUAACAAGGUAGCCGUAA
rnacentral:rRNA from 1 species